AUGGCACUGAAUCAAGGCUAGUGGCUUGUUGUAGCUACUGGUUUCAAGCAGGAGCCCAAAUCAACCUCUUUCUGUGGUCUGUUGGCUGUGCAAAACAUUCUUUGUGAUUCAGCUAAUUCAGUUGAAAGAAACAUUA